CGAACGCUGGCGGCGUGCUUAACACAUGCAAGUCGACGAAAGGACGGGAAGAGCUUGCUCUUUCCGGAAUUGAGUGGCAAACGGGUGAGUAACACGUAAACAACCUGCCUUCAGGAUGGGGACAACAGACGGAAACGACUGCUAAUACCGAAUAAGUUCCAAGAGCCGCAUGGCCCAUGGAGAAAAGGUGGCCUCUACCUGUAAGCUAUCGCCUGAAGAGGGGUUUGCGUCUGAUUAGCUGGUUGGAGGGGUAACGGCCCACCAAGGCGACGAUCAGUAGCCGGUCUGAGAGGAUGAACGGCCACACUGGAACUGAGACACGGUCCAGACUCCUACGGGAGGCAGCAGUGGGGAAUCUUCCGCAAUGGGCGAAAGCCUGACGGAGCAACGCCGCGUGAGUGAUGACGGCCUUCGGGUUGUAAAACUCUGUGAUCCGGGACGAAAAGGCAGAGUGCGAAGAACAAACUGCAUUGACGGUACCGGAAAAGCAAGCCACGGCUAACUACGUG
rnacentral:rRNA from 1 species